GAGAGAGAGACAUGCGCGCAUAUCAAUAAGCGGAGGAAAAGAAACUAACAAGGAUUCCCUUAGUAACGGCGAGUGAAGCGGGAAGAGCUCAAAUUUGAAAUCUUCAAGGUUUUACCUUGACGAAUUGUAGUUUAAAGAAGUGUUUUCUGCUGAAGUUUUGGUAAAAGUUCUUUGGAGUAGGACAUCAUAGAGGGUGAGAAUCCCGUAUUUGACCAUUAUUUUCAGCUUUGUGAUACACUUUCAAAGAGUCGGAUUGUUUGGGAAUGCAGUCCAAAUGGGUGGUAAAUUUCAUCUAAAGCUAAAUAUUGGCGAGAGACCGAUAGCGAACAAGUACCGUGAGGGAAAGAUGAAAAGAACUUUGAAAAGAGAGUUAAACAGUACGUGAAAUUGUCAAAAGGGAAGCGUUUGACACCAGUGUUGUUUUCUCGAAAAUCAAUUAAAAAUGGCUCGAUUUUGUAUUGUUGAGACCUUAAAAGCUCACUGUACAUUUUUCGUGUCUUUUUUAAUGCACUUUUCGUUUAACAAGUCAACAUCAGUUUCUUUUGUUGUAAAAGGGUCAUUGGAAGGUGGCUUUCUUUUCGGAGAAAGUGUUUAUAGCCUUUGGCCUCUGCAAUCGAAGAGACUGAGGUCUGCAGCGUAGACUCUUCGGGGUUAGAUACAUUUGUGCUAAGUUAUAGCUUUUUAUAGACAACUUGUUGACUAUAAUUAGUCUUGUAGCUUACUCGCUUAUGCUAUUUUACCUACGCUUAGGAUGUUGAGUCGUAGAGCACGCAG
rnacentral:rRNA from 1 species